rnacentral:rRNA from 1 species
GACGAACCGUGCGAACGUUAUUCGGAAUCACUGGGCUUAAAGCGCGUGUAGGCGGGUCGGAACGUCGGUCGCUGAAAUCCCCCGCUAACCGGGGAACGGGCGCCGAAACGGCCGGCCUGGAGGGACGUAGGGGGAGCUGGAACUUCCGGUGGAGCGGUGAAAUGCGUUGAGAUCGGAAGGAACGCCCGUGGCGAAAGCGAGCUCCUGGACGUUUCGUGACGCUGACGACGCGAAAGCCAGGGAGCGAACGGG